GAGAAGAACGCAGCGAAAUGCGAUAAGUAAUGUGAAUUGCAGAAUUCAGUGAAUCAUCGAGUCUUUGAACGCACAUUGCGCCCCCUGGUAUUCCGGGGGGCAUGCCUGUCCGAGCGUCAUUGCUGCCCUCAAGCACGGCUUGUGUGUUGGGCCUCCGUCCUCCUCCCGGGGGACGGGCCCGAAAGGCAGCGGCGGCACCGCGUCCGGUCCUCGAGCGUAUGGGGCUUCGUCACCCGCUCUUGUAGGCCCGGCCGGCGCUUGCCGACACAUCAAUCUUUUUUCCAGGUUGACCUCGGAUCAGGUAGGGAUACCCGCUGAACUUAAGCAUAUCAAUAAGCGGAGGA
rnacentral:misc_RNA from 1 species